UACGUAGGGUGCAAGCGUUAAUCGGAAUUACUGGGCGUAAAGCGUGCGCAGGCGGUUAUGUAAGACAGAUGUGAAAUGCCCGGGCUUAACCUGGGAACUGCAUUGGUGACUGGCGGGCUAGAGUAUGGCAGAGGGGGGUAGAAUUCCACGUGUAGCAGUGAAAUGCGUAGAGAUGUGGAGGAAUACCGAUGGCGAAGGCAGCCCCCUGGGCCAAUACUGACGCUCAUGCACGAAAGCGUGGGGAGCAAACAGG
rnacentral:rRNA from 1 species